rnacentral:rRNA from 1 species
AUGCCCCAGUCCCGAGACAGGCGAGGCCUCCACCUAUUUCUCCCGACCUGGAAGAGCAGCCCCGGGCAGCCCUUCUUUUCGCGGCGAGGGCGUGGGGUUCGCCUUCGCCGCCGUCAGAGAGAGAGAGAGAGAGAGAGAGAGAGAGAGAACAGAGGGGAGAGCUCGUUCUGCUCCGUGCAUCCAAUCGUCGGGUGGGGGAAGGGCACAUCGGUCAUUUCAAAUUUGUGUUUAGAGAGGGAUUAUAGUCUCUGUAAGUCAAAUGUCAAAUACUCUCUCCGUUCGGAAUUAGUUGUCGAAAAAAUGGAUGUAUUUAGACGUAUUUUAGUUCUAGAUACAUCUAUUUCCGAGACAAGUAAUUCCGAACUGAUGGAGUAG